AACGAACGCUGGCGGCAUGCCUAACACAUGCAAGUCGAACGAAUUUACUUUUAGCUUGCUAAAAGUAUGUUAGUGGCAGACGGGUGAGUAACGCGUGGGAACCUUCCUAAUAGUAUGGAAUAGCCGUUGGAAACGACGAAUAAUACCAUAUGCGCCCUGAGGGGGAAAGAUUUAUCGCUAUUAGAUGGGCCCGCGUUGGAUUAGCUAGUUGGUAGGGUAAUGGCCUACCAAGGCUACGAUCUAUAGCUGAUCUGAGAGGAUGAUCAGCCACACUGGAACUGAGACACGGUCCAGACUCCUACGGGAGGCAGCAGUGGGGAAUAUUGGACAAUGGGCGAAAGCCUGAUCCAGCAAUGCCGCGUGAGUGAAGAAGGCCUUAGGGUUGUAAAGCUCUUUCAGUAGGGAAGAUAAUGACGGUACCUACAGAAGAAGCACCGGCUAACUCCGUGCCAGCAGCCGCCGUAA
rnacentral:rRNA from 1 species